rnacentral:rRNA from 1 species
GAUGAACGCUAGCGGGAGGCCUAACACAUGCAAGCCGAGCGGUAUUGUUUCUUCGGAAAUGAGAGAGCGGCGUACGGGUGCGUAACACGUGUGCAACCUGCCUUUAUCUGGGGGAUAGCCUUUCGAAAGGAAGAUUAAUACUCCAUAAUAUAUUGAACGGCAUCGUUUAAUAUUGAAAGCUCCUGCGGAUAGAGAUGGGCACGCGCAAGAUUAGCUAGUUGGUGAGGUAACGGCUCACCAAGGCGAUGAUCUUUAGGGGGCCUGAGAGGGUGAUCCCCCACACUGGUACUGAGACACGGACCAGACUCCUACGGGAGGCAGCAGUGAGGAAUAUUGGUCAAUGGGUGCAAGCCUGAACCAGCCAUCCCGAGUGAAGGACGACUGCCCUAGGGGUUGUAAACUUCUUUUGUAUAGGGAUAAACCUACCCUCGAGAGGGUAGCUGAAGGUACUAUACGAAUAAGCACCGGCUAACUCCGUG